rnacentral:rRNA from 1 species
GAUGAACGCUGGCGGCGUGCCUAACACAUGCAAGUCGAGCGUGAACCGUCUGAAUGAAACUUCGGUCGAGUGAGGAUGGGGAAAGCGGCGGACGGGUGAGUAACGCGUAGGCAACCUGCCCCGUACAGAGGGAUAGCCUCGGGAAACCGGGAUUAAGACCUCAUAAUACCAUUAUCUCACAUGUGGUAAUGGUCAAAGAUUUUAUCGGUAUGGGAUGGGCCUGCGUCUGAUUAGCUGGUUGGUGGGGUAACGGCUCACCAAGGCGACGAUCAGUAGCCGACCUGAGAGGGUAAUCGGCCACAUUGGAACUGAGACACGGUCCAAACUCCUACGGGAGGCAGCAGUGGGGAAUAUUGCACAAUGGGCGAAAGCCUGAUGCAGCAACGCCGCGUGAGCGAGGAAGGCCUUUGGGUCGUAAAGCUCUGUCGAGGAGGAAGAUAAUGACGGUACUCCUCGAGGAAGCCCCGGCUAACUACGUGCCAGCAGCCGCGGUAAAACGU